rnacentral:rRNA from 1 species
UACGAAGGGGGCUAGCGUUGUUCGGAUUUACUGGGCGUAAAGGGCGCGUAGGCGGCCUGCAAAGUUAGGAGUAAAAGCCCAGGGCUUAACCCUGGAACUGCUUCUAAGACUUGCAAGCUAGAGAGUGAUAGAGGAUGAUGGAAUUCCUAGUGUAGAGGUGAAAUUCUUAGAUAUUAGGAGGAACACCGGUGGCGAAGGCGGUCAUCUGGGUCAUUUCUGACGCUGAGGCGCGAAAGCGUGGGGAGCAAACAGG